GCCUGAUGCAGCGACGCCGCGUGAGGGAUGACGGCCUUCGGGUUGUAAACCUCUUUCAGUAGGGAAGAAGCGUAAGUGACGGUACCUGCAGAAGAAGCGCCGGCUAACUACGUGCCAGCAGCCGCGGUAAUACGUAGGGCGCAAGCGUUAUCCGGAAUUAUUGGGCGUAAAGAGCUCGUAGGCGGUUUGUCGCGUCUGCCGUGAAAGUCCGGGGCUCAACUCCGGAUCUGCGGUGGGUACGGGCAGACUAGAGUGAUGUAGGGGAGACUGGAAUUCCUGGUGUAGCGGUGAAAUGCGCAGAUAUCAGGAGGAACACCGAUGGCGAAGGCAGGUCUCUGGGCAUUAACUGACGCUGAGGAGCGAAAGCAUGGGGAGCGAACAGGAUUAGAUACCCUGGUAGUCCAUGCCGUAAACGUUGGGCACUAGGUGUGGGGGACAUUCCACGUUUUCCGCGCCGUAGCUAACGCAUUAAGUGCCCCGCCUGGGGAGUACGGCCGCAAGGCUAAAACUCAAAGGAAUUGACGGGGGCCCGCACAAGCGGCGGAGCAUGCGGAUUAAUUCGAUGCAACGCGAAGAACCUUACCAAGGCUUGACAUGAACCGGAAAGAUCUGGAAACAGGUCCCCCACUUGUGGUCG
rnacentral:rRNA from 1 species